UGGUCUUGAUCCUUCUGCCACCCCGAGGAAGUGGCCCGGGCCGGCCACAGAGGGACUGGAGAGCCCGUUUCCCAUGGCCACCUGAUCGCACAGCUGCGAAAGACAGAGAUCUCAGAUGAUGUUCCCCCUGGAUCCCCUUUGGCCUCUGUCCUGGCCAGGGUCCAGGAGAAGGAUGGGGAAUAGAUGUCUCUGAACAACGUUGCUCAAAGAACCCUCCGGGAACACUGCGGUGGUUUUCCUGAGAUGUCCAGACCUGCAGGCAGCAAUGCCAUGACCCCUCCAGUCCCUGUAGAGAGGAAUGCCAGCACUUGAAGCAUACAGCAGGGCAGACCUCGCGGCCCUCCAGACAUAGCUCCGGAAGCACCUGAUCCAGCCCUGAUUUUGGCGGUGUCUUCUUCAUUCCCACCCCCAGCCCAUCCACCACAGCAAGCAGAUCCAACCUCGCGUCUCCGAAGGUAGCGAGGGGACCUGCGGUGGGCACCAGGCCCUGUGAAGCCUUGCGAAUGGGAAUAAAGGGGCGCCCGCGACCCCAGCUGUACCCGCGGUCGAUCUGGGUUUACACGGAAGCUCAUCCAGGAUUAGUCCCUGCACUCGGCUAAUCCCUGCGGCAGAAGCGACCCCGGGGUCCGGGAGCCGGGCCCAUGCUGCAGGGGCGGGGGAUGAGGCGCGCGGGCCAAGCGGAAGCGACCGGCACGCGGGGGGAGGGGCGCCCGGGAGGAGGGGCCAGGAAGGCAGCCUAUCCGGUCUCUAUUAUUCCUCCUCUCCUGAGCCGGUGUUUACCCGCGAGCCCGACCGAGGAGGCCCGGGCCGCUCGGGCCCAGAAGCAGGGGUGGGGGUUGCAGUCGUAGACGGGGACUGAGACCUUUUCGGGUCCCCAAGUCGACUUCCAACUUUCGUGCUUGAGCGUGGGAGGGAGCGACAGACAGACAGAUGUCUCCCGCCUCUUCUCCCAUCCAGCUCCGCAGUUCGUACUCGCUGCCAAAUGGGGCUAGUGGGAAUGGAUACGUGCCCCUUGGAGGAAGGCAGCAGGGUGUAACCCCAGCGCCGCACCCCACCCCACCCCACCCCUGCCAUCUCUAGCCUGCACCUUGGCUCCUGGUGGGGAUGAGGUACUUGGAACGGGUUGGGCCUAGCAGACCGGCUUGGGGGCACUUGGAGGUGCACGGAAUAAAUAACCUGUCCUCAGUCUGCGUCCUCUUGCCCCCAUCCCUGCUUGGUACCGAUUAAUCCCAGUCUGGGCUGGGUGCCUCUUAUCUCAAGCGUGUCCCCUGACCCCCUCCAAGGUCUCUACUACCCCAGAUUUAACCACCAGUAUCUCCCCGGGACGC